rnacentral:rRNA from 1 species
GAGGUCCCGCCUGCCCUGUGACAUUAGUUCAACGGCCGCGGUAUCCUGACCGUGCAAAGGUAGCGUAAUCACUUGUCUUUAAAUGAAGACCUGUAUGAAAGGCCUCACGAGAUUUUACCUGUCUCCCUUCUUCAAUCAGUGAAAUUGAUCUACCCGUGCAGAAGCGGGUAUGUGAACAUAAGACGAGAAGACCCUAUGGAGCUUCAAAUAAAUUAUUAAUAAAAUGAAAUUACAACCCUCAGGGGAUAAGAGUUGGACUUAGCAUAAUAAAAUUAUUUUUGGUUGGGGCAACCACGGGGUAAAGCCUAACCCCCGUAUCGAUUGGGCAAAAAUGCCUAAAAAAUAGAACGACAGUUCUACUUAAUAAAAUAUUUAACGAGUAAUGAUCCAGAGAUAUCUGAUUAAUGAACCAAGUUACCCUAGGGAUAACAGCGCAAUCCUUUCCCAGAGUCCCUAUCGACGAAAGGGUUUACGACCUCGAUGUUGGAUCAGGACACCCUAAUGGUGCACCGCUAUUAAGGGUUCGUUUGUUCAACGA